rnacentral:rRNA from 1 species
AGAAUCAACGCUGGCGGCGUGCCUCAGACAUGCAAGUCGAACGCGAAAGUCUCCUUCGGGGGACAAGUAGAGUGGCGCACGGGUGAGUAACACGUAGGUAAUCUACCUUCGGAUGGGGAAUAACAACCGGAAACGGUUGCUAAUACCGCAUAAUGCAGCGGCACCUAAUGGUGACAGUUGUUAAAGCGGGGGAUCGAAAGACCUCGCGUCUGAAGAGGAGCCUGCGGCGGAUUAGCUAGUUGGUAGGUAACGGCCUACCAAGGCGACGAUCCGUAGCC